rnacentral:rRNA from 1 species
UGGGGAAUAUUGGACAAUGGGGGGAACCCUGAUCCAGCCAUGCCGCGUGUGUGAAGAAGGCCUUAUGGUUGUAAAGCACUUUAAGCGAGGAGGAGGGUACUGGUAUUAAUACUACCAGGUACUGGACGUUACUCGCAGAAUAAGCACCGGCUAACUCUGUGCCAGCAGCCGCGGUAAUACAGAGGGUGCGAGCGUUAAUCGGAUUUAAUGGGCGUAAAGCGUGCGUAGGCGGCUAAUUGAGUCGGAUGUGAAAUCCCCGAGCUUAACUUGGGAAUUGCAUUCGAUACUGGUUAGCUAGAGUGUGGGAGAGGAUGGUAGAAUUCCAGGUGUAGCGGUGAAAUGCGUAGAGAUCUGGAGGAAUACCGAUGGCGAAGGCAGCCAUCUGGCCUAACACUGACGCUGAGGUACGAAAGCAUGGGGAGCAAACAAG